GACGAACGCUGGCGGCGUGCUUAACACAUGCAAGUCGAGCGGAAAGGCCCUUCGGGGUACUCGAGCGGCGAACGGGUGAGUAACACGUGAGUAACCUGCCCCAGACUUUGGGAUAACCCUCGGAAACGGGGGCUAAUACCGGAUACGACACAGCUUCGCAUGGGGUCUGUGUGGAAAGUUUUUCGGUUUGGGAUGGGCUCGCGGCCUAUCAGCUUGUUGGUGGGGUGAUGGCCUACCAAGGCGACGACGGGUAGCCGGCCUGAGAGGGCGACCGGCCACACUGGGACUGAGACACGGCCCAGACUCCUACGGGAGGCAGCAGUGGGGAAUAUUGCACAAUGGGCGGAAGCCUGAUGCAGCGACGCCGCGUGAGGGAUGACGGCCUUCGGGUUGUAAACCUCUUUCAGCAGGGACGAAGCGUAAGUGACGGUACCUGCAGAAGAAGCGCCAGCCAACUACGUG
rnacentral:rRNA from 1 species